rnacentral:piRNA from 1 species
GUGGGAACCGAACACUGAGACUAGC